CUGAAGAGUUUGAUCAUGGCUCAGAUUGAACGCUGGCGGCAGGCCUAAGACAUGCAAGUCGAGCGAGAAAGCCCUUCGGGGUGAGUACAGCGGCGGACGGGUGAGUAACGCGUAGGAAUCUACCCAGUAGUGGGGGACAACUAGUGGAAACGCUAGCUAAUACCGCAUACGCCCCAAGGGGGAAAGCGGGGGAUCUUCGGACCUCGUGCUAUUGGAUGAGCCUGCGUAAGAUUAGCUUGUUGGUGGGGUAAUGGCCCACCAAGGCGACGAUCUUUAGCUGGUCUGAGAGGAUGAUCAGCCACACCGGGACUGAGACACGGCCCGGACUCCUACGGGAGGCAGCAGUCGGGAAUAUUGCGCAAUGGGGGAAACCCUGACGCAGCCAUGCCGCGUGUGUGAAGAAGGCCUUCGGGUUGUAAAGCACUUUCAGUUGUGAGGAAAAGUUAGUAGUUAAUACCUGCUAGCCGUGACGUUAACAACAGAAGAAGCACCGGCUAACUCCGUGCCAGCAGCCGCGGUAAUACGGAGGGUGCAAGCGUUAAUCGGAAUUACUGGGCGUAAAGCGCGCGUAGGCGGACUGGAAAGUUGGGGGUGAAAUCCCGGGGCUCAACCCCGGAACGGCCUCCAAAACUAUCAGUCUAGAGUUCGAGAGAGGUGAGUGGAAUUCCGAGUGUAGAGGUGAAAUUCGUAGAUAUUCGGAGGAACACCAGUGGCGAAGGCGGCUCACUGGCUCGAUACUGACGCUGAGGUGCGAAAGUGUGGGGAGCAAACAGGAUUAGAUACCCUGGUAGUCC
rnacentral:rRNA from 1 species